rnacentral:misc_RNA from 1 species
GAUGAAGAACGUAGUGAAAUGCGAUACGUAAUGUGAAUUGCAGAAUUCAGUGAAUCAUCGAAUCUUUGAACGCAUAUUGCGCUCUCUGGUAUUCCGGAGAGCAUGCUUGUUUGAGUAUCAGUAAACACCUCAACUUCCAUAUCUUUUUUGAAAUGGAGUUGGACUUGAGUGAUCCCAACGCUUUUCCUCACCGAAAAGUGGCGGGUUACUUGAAAUGCAGGUGCAGCUGGACUUUUCUCUGAGCUAUAAGCAUAUCUAUUUAGUCUGCCUAAAAAACAGAUUAUUACCUUUGCUGCAGCUAACAUAAAGGAGAUUAGUUCUUGUGCUGACUGAUGCAGGAUUCACAAAGACAGGCUUCGGCCGACUUUGUAAACUCGAUCUCAAAUCAAGUAAGACUACCCGCUGAACUUAAGCAUAUCAAUAAGCGAGGA